CCUACGGGGGGCAGCAGUGGGGAAUAUUGCACAAUGGGGGGAACCCUGAUGCAGCGACGCCGCGUGGGUGAAGGAGUAUUUCGGUAUGUAAAGCCCUAUCAGCAGGGAAGAACAGUGACGGUACCUGACUAAUAAGCACCGGCUAAAUACGUGCCAGCAGCCGCGGUAAUACGUAGGGUGCAAGCGUUAUCCGGAUGUCCGGGGGGUAAAGGGAGCGCAGGCGGCUCGUUAAGCCUGGUGUGAAAGGACGCGGCCCAACCGCGGGACUGCAGUUGUAACUGGCGCGCUGGAGUGCCGGAGGGGUAGGCGGAAUUCCUAGUGUAGCGGUGAAAUGCGGAGAUAUUAGGAGGAACACCAGUGGCGAAGGCGGCUUACUGGACGGUGACUGACGCUGAGGCUCGAAAGCGUGGGGAGCAAACAGGAUUAGAUACCCCAGUAGUC
rnacentral:rRNA from 1 species